AGUGAGAUAGCUGGGUCAAAUAGUUAGUGAUUCCAUUCGAAGCUUUCCAAGAAAUCUCCAUACUGCUUUCCAUAUUGGCUGCACCAUUUUGCAGUCCUACCAGCAAU
rnacentral:pre_miRNA from 1 species